rnacentral:rRNA from 1 species
GACCUCGGAUCAGGUAGGAAUACCCGCUGAACUUAAGCAUAUCAAUAAGCGGAGGAAAAGAAACCAACAGGGAUUGCCCUAGUAACGGCGAGUGAAGCGGCAAUAGCUCAAAUUUGAAAUCUGGCCUUCGGGUCCGAGUUGUAAUUUGUAGAGGAUGCUUUUGGCGCGGUGCCUUCCGAGUUCCCUGGAACGGGACGCCUUAGAGGGUGAGAGCCCCGUACGGUUGGACACCAAGCCUCUGUAAAGCUCCUUCGACGAGUCGAGUAGUUUGGGAAUGCUGCUCUAAAUGGGAGGUAAAUUUCUUCUAAAGCUAAAUAUUGGCCAGAGACCGAUAGCGCACAAGUAGAGUGAUCGAAAGAUGAAAAGCACUUUGAAAAGAGGGUUAAAUAGUACGUGAAAUUGUUGAAAGGGAAGCGUUUGCGACCAGACCUUUUCCUGGCGGAUCAUCCGGUGUUCUCACCGGUGCACUUCGCCAGGUUUAGGG